CGUGAGUAACCUGCCUUGGAGUGGGGAAUAACAGCUGGAAACAGCUGCUAAUACCGCAUAAUAUAUCUGGGUCGCCUGGCUCUGGAUAUCAAAGAUUUAUCGCUCUGAGAUGGACUCGCGUCUGAUUAGAUAGUUGGUGAGGUAACGGCCCACCAAGUCGACGAUCAGUAGCCGGACUGAGAGGUUGAACGGCCACAUUGGGACUGAGACACGGCCCAGACUCCUACGGAAGGCAGCAG
rnacentral:rRNA from 1 species